rnacentral:rRNA from 1 species
CCUACGGGAGGCAGCAGUGGGGAAUAUUGGACAAUGGGCGGAAGCCUGAUCCAGCAACGCCGCGUGAGGGAUGACGGCCUUCGGGUUGUAAACCUCUUUCGCCUGUGACGAAGCUCCUGGUUUUUGUUGGGGGUGACGGUAGUGGGUAAAGAAGCACCGGCCAACUACGUGCCAGCAGCCGCGGUAAUACGUAGGGUGCGAGCGUUGUCCGGAAUUAUUGGGCGUAAAAGGGCUCGUAGGCGGUUUGUCGCGUCGGGAGUGAAAGCCCAGGGCUUAACCCUGGGUCUGCUUCUGAUACGGGCAGACUAGAGGUAUGUAGGGGAGAACGGAAUUCCUGGUGUAGCGGUGAAAAUGCGCAGAUAUCAGGAGGAACACCGGUGGCGAAAGGCGGUUCUCUGGGCAUUACCUGACGCUGAGGAGCGAAAGUGUGGGGAGCGAACAGGAUUAGAUACCCUGGUAGUCCACACCGUAAACGUUGGGCGCUAGGUGUGGGGAGUCACUCCUACGGUUCCGGUCGCCGCACGCUAACGACAUAAGUACGCCCGCCCGUCGGGAGGUACGGCCGCGACGGACGUAAAACGUUAAAAGUAGAAGUUAGACGGUCGUGAGAGUUAGUCGAAGGACGACGACGAGGGAGGAGG